GGGGACGAUUGGAUUCGACGGGACGAUGGGUUGUUGUACUCGCGCGUCGGGGGUGUUCGUGGCCCCGUACCCCAGCGAACAAAUUCUUAAAUGCCGAUAAUUACGGCUAUGCUAUGGCUGCCUGAUCUUUUUAUAGAUCACGCAUAAAAGCCACGUUUUCAGUUUGCCUUGUCCGUUCGGCGAGCUGCUAACGACGCGAUGGACGGUCUGCUCAGCACCAUUUGCUUGAGGUGUUGCUGCUAAGAUUUAUCAAGCUGGAUGAGUCUGGCCUGCCUUCUGGCCCUACAGGUUCAUUGAGAUCUCAAUAGGAAGGAUACACGCGUAGACGGUGCAGUGGCCCCGUAUCCGGACCCGGGUUCGACUCCCGGCGUCUCCACCA
rnacentral:tmRNA from 2 species